rnacentral:rRNA from 1 species
UACGUAGGGGGCAAGCGUUGUCCGGAUUUAUUGGGCGUAAAGAGCGUGUAGGCGGCCAGGUAGGUCUGCUGUGAAAACUCGAGGCUCAACCUCGAGACGUCGGCGGAAACCAUCUGGCUAGAGUCCGGAAGAGGAGAGUGGAAUUCCUGGUGUAGCGGUGAAAUGCGCAGAUAUUAGGAAGAACACCAGUGGCGAAGGCGGCCCACUGGUCCGGUACUGACGCUGAGGUGCGAAAGCGUGGGGAGCAAACAGG